GGGCCCGCACAAGCGGAGGAACAUGUGGUUUAAUUCGAUGAUACGCGAGGAACCUUACCCGGGCUUGAAAUGGAGAGGAAUAACCUGGAAACAGGUUAGCCAGCAAUGGCCUCUUUGUAGGUGCUGCAUGGUUGUCGUCAGCUCGUGCCGUGAGGUGUCGGCUUAAGUGCCAUAACGAGCGCAACCCCUGCCGCCAGUUGCCAUCAGGUCAUGCUGGGCACUCUGGCGGGACUGCCGCCGUAAGGUGCGAGGAAGGCGGGGAUGACGUCAAAUCAGCACGGCCCUUACGUCCGGGGCGACACACGUGUUACAAUGGGGGGGUACAGAGGGUCGCUACCGCGCGAGCGGAUGCCAAUCUCAAAAAGCCUCUCUCAGUUCGGAUCGGAGUCUGCAACUCGACUCCGUGAAGCUGGAUUCGCUAGUAAUCGCGCAUCAGCCAUGGCG
rnacentral:rRNA from 1 species